ensembl:misc_RNA Metazoa_SRP Metazoan signal recognition particle RNA
GCUGGGCAUGGUGGAGCGUGCCUGUAAUCCCAGCUACUCAGGAGGCUGAGGUAUGAGAAUCACUUGCACCCGGGAGGUGGAGGUUGCAGUGAGCCAAGAUCACACCACUGCACUCCAGCCUGGGUGACAAAGUGAGACUUCAUCUCAA